UGACCGCCCCGACGUCGUAAAACUACGGGCGACAGCGGAUGCAACCCGCGUAAAUAAGCGUA
ncrna:unclassified sequences GP20-b RNA